rnacentral:rRNA from 1 species
GACGAACGCUGGCGGCGUGCUUAACACAUGCAAGUCGAACGGAAAGGCCCUUCUUUUGUGGGGUGCUCGAGUGGCGAACGUGUGAGUAACACGUGAGUAACCUGCCCUUGACUUUGGGAUAACUUCAGGAAACUGGGGCUAAUACCGCAUAGGAGCUCCUGCUGCAUGGGGGGGGUUGGAAUGUUUCGGCGGUUGGGGAUGGACUCGCGGCUUAUCAGCUUGUUGGUGGGGUAGUGGCAUACCAAGGCUUUGACGGGUAGCCGGCCUGAGAGGGUGACCGGCCACAUUGGGACUGAGAUACGGCCCAGACUCCUACGGGAGGCAGCAGUGGGGAAUAUUGCACAAUGGGCGGAAGCCUGAUGCAGCAACGCCGCGUGGGGGAUGACGGCCUUCGGGUUGUAAACCGCUUUCGCCUGUGACGAAGCGUGAGUGACGGUAAUUGGUAAAGAAGCACCGGCUAACUACGUG